rnacentral:antisense_RNA from 1 species
AUAAUUUAAUCUUUAAAGUCAGCAAAAAGGGGCAGCUUUAACUGCCCCUUUUUGCUAUUAA